rnacentral:rRNA from 1 species
GAGAUACGGCCCAGACUCCUACGGGAGGCAGCAGUGGGGAUAUUGCACAAUGGGCGCAAGCCUGAUGCAGCGACGCCGCGUGAGGGAUGACGGCCUUCGGGUUGUAAACCUCUUUCGCCAGGGACGAAGCGCAAGUGACGGUACCUGGAGAAGAAGGACCGGCCAACUACGUGCCAGCAGCCGCGGUAAUACGUAGGGUCCGAGCGUUGUCCGGAAUUACUGGGCGUAAAGAGCUCGUAGGUGGUUUGUCGCGUUGUUCGUGAAAACUCACAACUCAAUUGUGGGCGUGCGGGCGAUACGGGCAGACUGGAGUACUGCAGGGGAGACUGGAAUUCCUGGUGUAGCGGUGGAAUGCGCAGAUAUCAGGAGGAACACCGGUGGCGAAGGCGGGUCUCUGGGCAGUAACUGACGCUGAGGAGCGAAAGCGUGGGGAGCGAACAGGAUUAGAUACCCUGGUAGUCCACGCCGUAAACGGUGGGUACUAGGUGUGGGUUUCCUUCCUUGGGAUCCGUGCCGUAGCUAACGCAUUAAGUACCCCGCCUGGGGAGUC